UAUAAAAUUUAACUGCAAGUAUAUUGUCUGAGAGAGCUUUUUAAAAACACUUAACUAAUGUGAAUUUAGAGCGGCGUUAAUUGUACGCUAGUCUAGUGACUACUAUGUGGUGGAUUAUUGGGUAUCUGAUGAAUUCACUCUCUGCUGUGUAAUUCAUUGUGAGACCUGUUAUUUUUUCGAUGUGCUUACGUAGUGACUUUGUCUUUGCAUAUGUAUUUGCGCACUUCGGAAUUGCGUCGCAAUUUUUCUUAGUGUUUAUACCUCUUUCUCACUUAAAUGUUCACAUCAGUACAAACGGUGAUUGCAUUGCAUUUGCCAUUGUCAAAUCGUCACAAAGGCUGCAAGAAGAGCAUUUUUUCAGUUACGUGUUGUUAAGCUUCAACGAAACGUAAAAUAACUUUUUAUAACAAUAAAAAAAUAAAUAGUUAAUAAUGCAACAAGUUGCAACAACCUGCGUCUAAGGUCAAUAAUGUCGAAUUGCAGAGUAUAAUUUCGUGGUAAAGGUGUUUCUUAGAUUUGUGGAGAUUAUUAUUAAGCUCAUAAUGACGUUAAUCGAAAACAUUUAAACGGACAGACAUCCGGAUUUCAACUCUACUCAUCAACCUGAUCGCUUUGGGAUCAAUUUCCUUAUGGGUUAACAUCAACUUCCAAGUUGGCGACAUAAUUGGAGUUCAAGUGAAAACAUGGCUGAGCCCAUGACAUUAAAAACAAUGUCACGGCACAGAUUUGACUCUAUACAAUGAUUUUUUCAUUAAUCUAAAAUCCUAGAAAACAGUAAAGAUGGACAUUUCAUAAUACAUCCACUGGUUGAUGCAUUAUACGGUAUAUAUCAUGGAACAAGGAAAUCAGCAGUAGACGCAUCUAUGAAUAUUUUUAAGAUUAGGGGCGCCAUCAAACAAUAUUGUUCUAUCAAAAUUUAAGGAGUCUAUUAAUUAUUGCAUUUGUUGGAAUAGAUGAAGUUGUUGAAGAAAAUUACGAAGGAUUUGGUCUUGGGGAAAGAGUGGUUUUGUCCCUCACACAAUCAGGAUGGAGCAAGAAAAAGUACCUGUACUUCGACAAUUAUUUACACCUGUAAGGCUCCUAUAGUUUCUCCAAA